rnacentral:rRNA from 1 species
CUAGAAACAAUUGAUCACCUGCUCCUUGGAUGUGUUCUCGCUCGGCAAGUUUGGGUCGUCAUCAUGGAUAAAUAGGGAAAAGCCUCAUGGACACCGGAGCCGGAGGCUGAACUUGUGGGAUGGUGGACCUAUCUCAACAUUCAGAAGAAUAAACAAAAAGAAACAUGGACGGUGAUCACCCUACUGGCAUGGACACUGUGGAAACAUAGGAAUGACAUCGUGUUUAGCGGAGCUUCACCUUCCGUGAAUGUGGUUCUGCAACAAAUCGAAGCGUAG